AAUCAGGCUAGAACAAUGAAAAUUCUUUGUUCAUGAUAUCAAAACUGUCACAAGAUAUUUAUGUUAUAUCAUAUCAUUUAUAAAGAGGACGAUAUACAUCUGACUAAAUUCAGUCUUGAUUCACUCGUUCAAGAAUACACCACGUGAGGAAAUGAUGUUUAAGAAACUUAUCUGUUUUCUGCCUGGUGGUAGCGAUUGUCCACAGCGAUAUAAAGGAAGAGGACUCUAACUCCAUAGAACCACCUCCCGUAAUAUCCAGCAGCGUGAACCCAACUUUAGAAGAACUAAAGAAACACGGAGCAAACCCCAAGAAUAAAGGAAUUUCUCCUCGUUCCUCGGGCUCGCUUUUCGGACUCGGGAUCGGUGCAAAUCUGCUAGGAGUGCAUGCAGGCGCUGGUAUAGGCCAUGGCCGUGGAGGCUAUGGUGAUAUGGGCCAAGGGUUUGUUGGCAAACCUGCGGGAGGCCAAUAUCCACAAUAUCCACAGUAUCCAAAAUAUUCAUAUCCUUUAUAUAUGCAACCACAACCAUACUACGUCCCACCAGCUCAUGCACCCUAUUGAAAGCCUCAAGGAAUCCCACUAGCGAAACCUCCUAUGUGUUACCUUCCCCCUUGCACAUAAAUGGAUUUUAGUUGAAUAUUUCCUUAAAUAGGGAUCUCCCUAUCUAAUUCUUUAUUUAGCAUUACUCAAAGAUAUUUUCUUGAAUGAACAUUAAAAAAAUAAUAUUACUACAAAGACUUUCUUUUUAUUGGGCCUACUUAAGACC